GCAAAUUAAACAAUAAUAGUAGUAAUUUUCAGAUUUUACACGCAAACUAUAGAUGCGGCUUCACCAGAUUGGAACUCUACCGUUGGCCAGGCAGAAAGAAAGCGCGCCUCAAACGUGGAUUACAGAUAGGGAAUCAGCCAAUCAAAAUGCUUGCCUCCUACACGUGUCGUUAGCAGAAUGAUAGUCAGAAACUCAGCACAAAAAUAUCAUCACCGGAUAAUAAACACUCAAAAUUUCAAAUAAACAAAAAUAAAUAAAUCAAAAUUAAAACAAACACAUUGAUCAAAAUUCGAAAGGAUAGAAAGCCACAGAGUUUGGGCAGCCACACAUCAAUAUCUCAAUGGCAGCGACGGUUUAUGCGGCGGCAGCAUCCUCAUCCAUGGCGGGUACCACCGCUGCCUUGAUUCCUUCUGCCAACAGAACCACUCGCUGCUCAGCCUUGCCUUACCUCCCUCCUCGCUUGCCAUCCCACUCCUU
rnacentral:lncRNA from 1 species